rnacentral:rRNA from 1 species
GUUUGAUCCUGGCCUCANCGAUGAACGCUCGGCUGCCAUGCCUAAUACAUGCAAGUCGAGCGANAUGGAUUGAGAGCUUGCUCUCAAGAAGUUAGCGGCGGACGGGUGAGUAACACGUGGGUAACCUGCCCAUAAGACUGGGAUAACUCCGGGAAACCGGGGCUAAUACCGGAUAAUAUUUUGAACUGCAUGGUUCGAAAUUGAAAGUGCGGCUUCGGCUGUCACUUAUGGAUGGACCCGCGUCGCAUUAGCUAGUUGGUGAGGUAACGGCUCACCAAGGCAACGAUGCGUAGCCGACCUGAGAGGGUAGAUCGGCCACACUGGGACUGAGACACGGCCAGACUCCUACGGGAGGCAGCAGUAGGGAAUCUUCCGCAAUGGACGAAAGUCUGACGGAGCAACGCCGCGUGAGUUGGANUGCAAGCGCUUUCGGAUCGGUAAAACUCUGGUUGUAAGUGGGAACGAACAAGUUAGCUAGUUUUAAAUUU